AGGGAAGCCGUGUGGAAAGAGCGGGAGCCAUCCUCAAGCCAGGAGGAGAGGCCCCAGCAGACACCAACCCUGACAGAACCUUGACCUUGGACACCCAGCCUGCAGAACUGUGAGAAGGUGUUCCUUACCUGACUGCAUAACCUGCAUGAGUUUGGAGGACCACAGCACUGUCCCAAGAAGGAAAGCAGGACCUGAUAUGAGGCAGAGCGUUUGCUUCAAUCUGUUCUGGUCGACAGAAGGACCCUUGGUGAUCGGAAGAAAGCCAAAGGGGACACACAGCUGAACCCGAAGC